GAUGAAGAACGCAGCGAAAUGCGAUAAGUAGUGUGAAUUGCAGAAUUCAGUGAAUCAUCGAAUCUUUGAACGCACAUUGCGCCCCUUGGUAUUCCAUGGGGCAUGCCUGUUCGAGCGUCAUUUGUACCUUCAAGCUCUGCUUGGUGUUGGGUGUUUGUCCUUGCUCUAGUGGCGGGACUCGCCUUAAAGUAAUUGGCAGCCAGUGUUUUGGUUUUGAAGCGCAGCACAAGUCGCGAUUCAAGUCUAUACGCUAGUUUCCACAAGUCUUUUAUCACUUUUGACCUCGGAUCAGGUAGGGAUACCCGCUGAACUUAAGCAUAUCAAUAGCGGAGGA
rnacentral:misc_RNA from 1 species